rnacentral:rRNA from 1 species
UACGUAGGGUGCGAGCGUUAAUCGGAAUUACUGGGCGUAAAGCGUGCGCAGGCGGCUUUGCAAGACAGAUGUGAAAUCCCCGGGCUUAACCUGGGAACUGCAUUUGUGACUGCAUGGCUGGAGUGCGGCAGAGGGGGAUGGAAUUCCGCGUGUAGCAGUGAAAUGCGUAGAUAUGUGGAGGAACGCCGAUGGCGAAGGCAGCCCCCUGGGAUGUGACUGACGCUCAUGUACGAAAGCGUGGGGAGCGAACAGG